GUAGUGACUUGUCUGUGGUCUGUGGUUACAGGGCUGAGUCCUGUUGUUACACUUUUAUUAACACACCCCUAUCUAAACGGAACAUGUAGAAGGCCACCUGGACAAUAAUGGAGAAUACAUGAAGAAGAAUAUAACAUUACACUGGAAAGAUCCAGGACUGCUCCUGCUGACAACCUUCCAGAAAAGAAAAAAAAAAAGAAAGAAAAGAAAAGAAAAAAAUGACAUUUCCUCCAAAACAUUGGAAGGCUCACAGACUACAAAGAUGGCCAUAAGAUGCACAGACUUCGCUGCAUGGUUAUUGAAUCAAUCAAUCAACAUGUAUUAGUUACUGCCUAUUAUAUGCUAGGUAUUAUACUAGAUGCUAGAGAUACAAAGAUAAACUGAAGGUAAAAUCUAAGGCCAUGUGUCAUAGGUAAGCUAACUUGCCUCAGUUACCAUUGUGUGUCUGCCCCAAGCCGAAAGGAUGGGUAAGAAGGCAAGAGUAUAUUCCUUCUACCAUUGCUUAAAAUGCUCAUCUAUUGAUACAAAUAAUAAACAUCACUAAAACAGUCUUCUCUCUAUGAAAGGAUCCAAGCUGAGUUUCUCCAAAGAACGAGUCCCUUUUGUACCUUUAAGAUGUAAAUCAAUUUGCAAAUUUUUAAUAUAGGUAAUUGAUCUAGAACGUAUGUAUUGUUUAAAGUGAAAAAAAUGAGCAUCUUUGCUAGGAAAAAAGUCAUGUUCAUGUUUGCAUUGGGUUCAAUUUCAUAUAUAAUAUACUGGCAUCAUCAAAGAAAUACAUGAUAGAAAAAUAAUAUGGACUGGUCACAUGGCAAGCACCCUAAAUAAACUAUGGAUGGCCAGUGUGAUUCAGUGCUAUUCUCACAAUGUCAGGGGAAAUAAGGAAAGGCCCUCAGCAUAUUGGGUGGUCCCUAGAUGGCAAAUUUAUAAGAAGGCACAGACAAGAGCUACAGAAAGAGAAGGUAGGGAUGAGUUGUGAUCUAAAUCAGUGGAUUUGACCAUAUUUAUGAUGUCACAGAUAUAUUUGAGUAUUUUUGAGAAUAUUUGCCAGUUCAUACAACAUAGCAUACAAUAAACAUACACACACACAUACACACAUAUAUAUAUACAUAUGCAUACGUAUAUAGAUACAAUACAUCAUACAACAUAUGCUUGGAGUCAGGAAUGUCUAUGUUCAAAUGAUGCUGCCUCUGAUACUAACUACCUAUGUGACAUGGACAAGUCAUAUCAGCCCUUCUAUAUGCCUCAGUCAGUUCCCUAGGACUUAUCUGAUAGGUCAUAGAUGGAGUGUGGAGAAAGAUUCCAUACCAGUAAUUUUCAACGUUAGUGAAAUCGCACAUUCUUCACAUAUUUACAUAUGUAUUAAGCUCAGGAAAAUCAUUAGAAAGGAAAUAACAGCAAUAAACUCUAAAUAAAUUUCUUUGAUUGACAAACAACCCUGACAUAUAUGAUGGCUCCAUGAAGACCAUACUAGAAACAAGAAUAUACCAAGAGUGAUUAUUUUUCUUUUUUUUUUUCAUCAAAAUUCAACAUGUCAACUUCAUCUCAAAAAUUACAACAUAGACUAUGUAUCUGAGCUGAGGAUGUAUGUCAUAAAUCUUGGGGGGAAAAAAACAAGACUUGGAAUCAUAAAACAUAGCUGAAAAGGAAUUUUAGACAUCAUUUUUUUCCAACUUCCUCAUUUUACAGAUGAAGAAACUAGAGACUUACAGAGGAGAGGUGACCCGCCCAAGGUCAUACAGCUACAUAGGCCUGGAUCCAGAGAUAUAGUUAAGGCAUGACAUGAUUUAGUGAAAAAAAGCAAGUCCUAAUUGCAUCAUUUUCCAGCCGUAUGA